ACCAGGAUGGCCGAGUGGUUAAGGCGUUGGACUUAAGAUCCAAUGGACGUGUUGUCCGCGUGGGUUCGAACGCCACUCCUGGUA
rnacentral:tRNA from 1 species